rnacentral:rRNA from 1 species
GACGAACGCUGGCGGCGUGCUUAACACAUGCAAGUCGAACGGAAAGGCCCUGCUUUUGUGGGGUGCUCGAGUGGCGAACGGGUGAGUAACACGUGAGUAACCUGCCCUUGACUUUGGGAUAACUUCAGGAAACUGGGGCUAAUACCGGAUAGGAGCUCCUGCUGCAGGGUGGGGGUUGGAAAGUUUCGGCGGUUGGGGAUGGACUCGCGGCUUAUCAGCUUGUUGGUGGGGUAGUGGCUUACCAAGGCUUUGACGGGUAGCCGGCCUGAGAGGGUGACCGGCCACAUUGGGACUGAGCUACGGCCCAGACUCCUACGGGAGGCAGCAGUGGGGAAUAUUGCACAAUGGGCGGAAGCCUGAUGCAGCAACGCCGCGUGCGGGAUGACGGCCUUCGGGUUGUAAACCGCUUUCGCCUGUGACGAAGCGUGAGUGACGGUAAUGGGUAAAGAAGCACCGGCUAACUACGUG